rnacentral:lncRNA from 1 species
GUAUAUUUGGGUAUGAUAGUGUAUUUUUAUAUGUGUUGGGUUUUUUUGUUGUUAUUUUUACUAUAGAUUCAUGAAGGGAGCACUGAAAUGUUCUUGAUCCUGUGGUAGGAUUAUAGAGUCUAUAUUCAUGUUGGCAAACCUAUGGCACACAUGCCAGAGCAGGCUGCUCCCUUCCCCUUCUCCAUGCACACCUGAGGACAUUUCUCACAUGGCCCACCUCUCUGGCCAGCAACCCAAUGGGAGCACUUCCUCCCUCACCUGUCUGGGAUAAAUGCAGCAUGAGAGUUGCAGCUUGGACACUCCUUCUCUAAAAGAUCCUGAGGGCUAGUCUGGUGUCAUGGAAUGGAAAAAGCUUCAGCAACCAAACACAGAUUUUUUUCAGGAUUAGAAAAUAGAGGAAACACCUAAAACAAAACACAAAAAAACAAAAGCAAAAAAUCUGUUACCACAAACUGAAUAUACAAACUUCAUAUCUGCUCUGACCAGGGGGCCUAUCACAGCUUCCAAAUUGCCUAGCACUUCUCAGGGGGGCAGUCUCUGUGGGAUUCACACCACUCAUCCUCUGAAGGCAUCAACUCUUAUCAAAAGUAUUCACCAGUUUCUGAUUGAGUUUCUGAGGGUAUGAACUCUUUAAUCAGCUUUGGACUGGUCCAGAUUCAAGGCCAGGCAUCACAAAGAGUAAGGAUUACUGGAUGGAUGCCUUUUUCAGUCCUCUGUGGAGAAGAGUUUCAUACUUGCCUUGACUGUGGCAACAUCUCAUUUAUCUUUUCAAAUAUUACUGCAUGUAUUAUUUUAUUAAAUCAUUGAUGCCAUUAUUUAAUACUGGUGUUU